rnacentral:rRNA from 1 species
GAUGAACGCUAGCGGCAGGCUUAAUACAUGCAAGUCGGAGGGGCAGCACGGGUAGCAAUACCUGGUGGCGACCGGCAAACGGGUGCGGAACACGUACGCAACCUUCCCAUAACUGGUGAAUAGCCCUCCGAAAGGAGGAUUAAUACACCGUAACAUAACGAAGUGGCAUCACUUUGUUAUUAUAGGCUUCGGCCGGUUUUGGAUGGGCGUGCGCCUGAUUAGGUAGUUGGCGGGGUAACGGCCCACCAAGCCUGCGAUCAGUAACUGGUGUGAGAGCACGACCAGUCACACGGGCACUGAGACACGGGGCCCGACUCCUACGGGGAGCAGCAGUAAGGAAUAUUGGUCAAUGGACGAAAGUCUGAACCAGCCAUGCCGCGUGAAGGAUUAAGG